rfam:Bacteria symbiont BFo1 of Frankliniella occidentalis strain BFo1 contig289, whole genome shotgun sequence.
ACAGCCACGCCGUUUGUGGCUGAAAAGCUCACCGUUGUGAGUGGUACUAAUCAAAAGGAACGAAUCGAUG